UACGGAGGAUGCGAGCGUUAUCCGGAUUUAUUGGGUUUAAAGGGUGCGCAGGCGGCGUGUCAAGUCAGCGGUAAAAUGUCGGGGCUCAACCCCGGCCGGCCGUUGAAACUGGCGUGCUCGAGUUGGAGAGAAGUAUGCGGAAUUCGUGGUGUAGCGGUGAAAUGCUUAGAUAUCACGAAGAACUCCGAUUGCGAAGGCAGCUCACUGGACUGCAACUGACACUGAGGCUCGAAAGUGUGGGUAUCAAACAGG
rnacentral:rRNA from 1 species